rnacentral:sRNA from 1 species
GCUAGGUGCAGUAGCACACACCUGUAAUCCAAGAUACUCAGGAGGCUGAGGCAGGAGAAUUGCAAGUUCUAGGCCAGCCUCUGCAAAUUAGUGAGACCUUGUCUCAA